rnacentral:SRP_RNA from 1 species
GCCGGGCGCGGUGGCGGGCGCCUGUAGUCCCAGCUACUCGGGAGGCUGAGGCAGGAGAAUGGCGUGAACCCGGGAGGCGGAGCUUGCAGUGAGCUGAGAUCCGGCCACUGCACUCCAGCCUGGGCGGCAGAGCGAGACUCCGUCUCAAAAAAAAAAAAAAAAAAAAAAAAAAAAAGAUGGAGUCUCACUGUAUUGUGGAGGCUGUAGUGCAGUGGUGCGAUCUCGGCUCACUGCAACCUCCGCCUCCCGUGUUCAAGCGAUUCUCCUGCCUCAG